rnacentral:misc_RNA from 1 species
AAAGAAGCUGACCAAUAUGAUCUGGAGGGCAAAACAGAUCUCAAAAUUCGAGUUUUGGAGGUUGUAGAAGAAUUGAGGACCAAACGUGCUGACAAACAGUCCAUGCUUCUUUUAGAUGCUUUCAACAAAGAUAGGGCAUCUUUGCCUCAACCUCUUCCGAACCCACCACCUCUGGCUCCUCUCCCUGUUGUCGCUCCUGACCCUCGUACACAAGAGUUGAU